rnacentral:rRNA from 1 species
UACGUAGGGUGCGAGCGUUAAUCGGAAUUACUGGGCGUAAAGCGUGCGCAGGCGGUUUUGUAAGUCAGAUGUGAAAUCCCCGGGCUUAACCUGGGAACUGCGUUUGAAACUACAAGGCUAGAGUGUGGCAGAGGGGGGUGGAAUUCCACGUGUAGCAGUGAAAUGCGUAGAGAUGUGGAGGAACACCGAUGGCGAAGGCAGCCCCCUGGGUUACCACUGACGCUCAGGCACGAAAGCGUGGGGAGCAAACAGG